GUGAUAUUUGAUUUUGUUCCAAUGCCUUCUCAUGUUCUUCUAAUCCAGUAUAAAUAACUCCUAGAAGCCUCCGAUCAUGUGCAACCUCUACAGAGUUUUGCCCUAGUUGUGCCUUGUGUAUGUCCAAUGCCUUCAAACAAAAGGGUAGAGCCUCUUUAAAAUGCAAUAUGGCAACAUAUGCCUCCGCGACAUCCCUAUUAGCUUUUCCAAGUUCUAUACUAUCUCUUUCCAGAGUCAUCUCUU
rnacentral:misc_RNA from 1 species